UGUGCUGCAUACUUCUGUGUGCAAUGGAAGUACGAUGAAGAGUUUUAUUCUACUAAAAUACAAACUAAGAAACGGCCCGAGUUGCACAUUUUUGCAGUUCGUUGGAUGUUUAUCUGAUUCAUUUAAAUUUGUUAGUUUUCUCUACUGUUGGUAAUACUGAAUUGACUUUUAUCAGUCACAUAUUUUAUUAUACCUAAUUUGAUGCUACAUAACCUAAAUGGUUCAUACAGCUAACAAAUUGUCUAUAUUUGUAUGGGUCUGCCGUGUAUAUUUAGCUUAUAAAGUUGUAAUUAAUACCAUCCUACUUAAUUUUAUAAGCAAGGGUUCCCACAGAAGUGUUUGAUAUUGAAUGAAACGUUUUACAAGAGACUGCUAGAAGAUAUAAGCAGAAUGCCAUUGGGAAAGUUGCAAAUAUUUAAAAGCAUCAGCAGGUUGUUACUCUAUAGGUAUUGGCUGCUGGUGGCAGUUUCUAUUGUAUGCUUACAGGUGCUGUGGGGUGGUGGUAUUUUGCUUUCAAACCUGGGAUUAUGAGAGGAACAUCCCCUGCUAAUGUGGGAAAAUUUACAUUGGACAGAGUAGCCAUUUUGAUGAAACUAGGGUCAGGAAGCACCCUUGUCAAGUCUGUGUUUACCAUCUAGACAAGUCGGCUGUGGCAGAGCACAUCAUCAACACGUGCCAUUGAAUCUUUCUAAAUGACAUCAGUAUCCUGGUGAAGGAACCCAGAUGUGUGAACAGGAUCAUCAGGAAAGUAGUAAAAAAUCUUAUUAAGUACAGAUUGUGUGAAAUAAAAUAUCUGUACAUAUACAUGAAAAAAUUUGCUACUUUACCUUGAUCUGGACAUGUCUGAGACUAGCUCAGCCAAGGGGCCCAACAGAUAGGAUUUCUGCCUUCCCCUUUUUUACCUGAAGAUGGAAGCAUAAUCCAGCUACGAAAACAUUUAAUUUAAUUAUUUUAUACUUCAUGGUACAGAGAGUGUCUCAAAGUCCAGGAGAACAAUUUACACAUUACAGUUCCCUGUUGUCAGAAAUGUCCAGACUUCAUCCGGAUAUGAAUUUGUUCCUCCGUGACAGUCAACCAAACAUUCAUCAAUUGUGGUCUUCUGGAAUGUGAGACAUAGACAUCAACCUUGUAGAUGGAGGUGAUACAUUCCUUAGAAAUGUUGGUAACCACCUAUCAGGCAACAGUGUCACAGCGACCACACUCACUAAAGGAAAGUCAUAAUUGUGUGUGCGAUGCAGAAUCAUUCUUGUUACGAAGUUGUCGGACCUUGCCUGCAAGAAUGCAACAGUAGAUCGUUAUUUGUGGUGUCUCGGGUAUUGGUACAUUAUUAGUAUUGCCAUUGAGAGGGUAAUACAAGUUUCGGUACUCCCUGUAAUCUAUGAUUGUUUUAUCUGGCUUCACUGCAAUGAACACUGAUUCUUCUGAAUUAAGGGGCUGUGAUCAGACUUGACCUGUAGAAGCCCUUGAAGAUAGUUAAGAUGGCUGUCAUCUGUGUCAUCGUGCCAUAUAUUCUGGUAGAAGUUUACCAGUAUUGCAGAGUUGAUGAGUCAUCACCCUGUUGAUGGGCGCAGCAAACAGCUUUGUUAUUAUAUUUAUGGCCUGUUUCCCCCAUUGUUACUCCAGUCUAUCAUAAGGUCAGCAUUGGUGGUGGUGGUGGUAAUAGUAUUGAUUGUUGUGAUCUGUUAAAAUAUUGUGAUUAUGAAUAAUAAUAAAAAUGAUUGUAUUAUUAGGCAACUGA